GAUGAACGCUAGCUACAGGCUUAACACAUGCAAGUCGCAGGGUAACAUGAGGAAAGCUUGCUUUCCUUGAUGACGACUGGCGCACGGGUGAGUAACGCGUAUCCAACCUUCCCAUAACUACGGGAUAACCCGUUGAAAGACGGCCUAAUACCGUAUGAUAUCGUUUGCUGACAUCAAAUAACGAUUAAAGGUUUAGCGGUUAUGGAUGGGGAUGCGUCUGAUUAGCUUGUUGGCGGGGUAACGGCCCACCAAGGCGACGAUCAGUAGGGGUUCUGAGAGGAAGGUCCCCCACAUUGGAACUGAGACACGGUCCAAACUCCUACGGGAGGCAGCAGUGAGGAAUAUUGGUCAAUGGGCGAGAGCCUGAACCAGCCAAGUAGCGUGCAGGAGGACGGCCCUAUGGGUUGUAAACUGCUUUUAUGUGGGGAUAAAGUGCGUGACGUGUCAUGCAUUGCAGGUACCACAUGAAUAAGGACCGGCUAAUUCCGUG
rnacentral:rRNA from 1 species